rnacentral:misc_RNA from 1 species
GGACGUCGAAGGUGGGGCUGAUGACUGGGGUGAAGUCGUAACAAGGUAUCCGUACCGGAAGGUGCGGAUGGAUCACCUCCUAACAGGGAGACAAAACAAUGAUUUUGAUGCCUGAGUGCUUUUAUUCUUAGGCCGAAAUCCUGUCACCUUAGGUCGAUCGGUACCUCAGCUUUGAAGUCAAGGAUCAGCAGCAAUGUUGAUUGUUUGAUGGAGAUUUUCAGUUCCUAAACUUUGUCUAGGUCACACCCCAAAAGGGAUGAGACUCCUGGGCCAUUAGCUCAGGUGGUUAGAGCGCACCCCUGAUAAGGGUGAGGUCCCUGGUUCAAGUCCAGGAUGGCCCAUUCGGUGUUGGGGGUUUAGCUCAGUUGGUAGAGCGCCUGCUUUGCAAGCAGGAUGUCAGGAGUUCGAGUCUCCUAACCUCCACUGACCGAACUUGAUUCCCAUCUCCAAUUUUUUGGAGUUGAGCUCGAUUGGAGUGUGAUUUAGAUGUGUCCGCUGGAUGACCCCAGCUUCCUGUCAUUCCAAGUUUUAGGUUAAAGCCUUGAAUUUGGUUGAUAAGAUGCUGGGCUCGGAUCAAAUGAUCAAGCAAUUGAUGAUUUGAUUUGAAGUUCUAGCAGAACCUUGACAACUGCAUAGGUGAGUCUGGAAAAAACAAAGCAUCUUACAGAUGCAUUGUUUUGAAUCUGAUCUUCUGAAAGGAAGAUUAGAUCUAGAACAAUGAAAAUUCUUUUGAGCAAGAGCCGAGACUCUUGAAUGUUCUUUAAUUCGUGUCGAGCGAAUUAGAGUUUGAUCUUGUUUUUAGCAAUAAAAACUUGAGAAUCUGCUUUCAACGGCGGUAAGCGUUCAAGAGGUUAAUUGGUCAAGCUACAAAGGGCUCACGGC